rnacentral:rRNA from 1 species
CAAUAUCGUAUAUUAAAGUUGUUGCAGUUAAAAAGCUCGUAGUUGGAUUUCUGAUCGAGACAUCAGGUCGGGUCCGAGAGGAUCAUGUACUUUGAUUUUGUUUUGAUCAUCCUUGGGGAGAGCAUUUCUGGCAUUCAGUUGUCGGGAUUGGGAUCCUCAUCGUUUACUGUGAAAAAAUUAGAGUGUUCAAAGCAGGCCUCGGCCUCUGAAUACAUUAGCAUGGAAUAAUAAGAUAGGACUUUGGUGGUCUAUUUUGUUGGUUUGCACGCCAAAGUAAUGAUUAAUAGGGAUAGUUGGGGGUAUUCGUAUUCAAUUGUCAGAGGUGAAAUUCUUGGAUUUAUGGAAGACGAACUACUGCGAAAGCAUUUACCAAGGAUGUUUUCAUUAA